ACUGAGACACUGCCCAGACUCCUACGGGAGGCUGCAGUCGAGAAUCUUCCGCAAUGGGCGAAAGCCUGACGGAGCGACACCGCGUGCAGGAUGAAGGCCUUCGGGUUGUAAACUGCUGUCACGCUUUAGGAACGAACGGGUGUUAAUAGCACUCGGACUGACCAAGGCGAAAGGAAGCACCGGCUAACUCUGUGCCAGCAGCCGCGGUAAGACAGAGGGUGCAAACGUUGUUCGGAAUUACUGGGCAUAAAGAGCACGUAGGUGGUUCGCUAAGUCACGUGUGAAAUCCCCCGGCUCAACCGGGGAAUUGCGCGUGAUACUGGCGAACUCGAGGCGGGUAGGGGUGAGCGGAACUCCAGGUGGAGCGGUGAAAUGCGUAGAUAUCUGGAGGAACACCGGUGGCGAAAGCGGCUCACUGGACCCGAUCUGACACUGAGGUGCGAAAGCUAGGGUAGCAAACGGGAUUAGAUACCCCGGUAGUCCUAGCCGUAAACGAUGGGCACUGGGCAGGGGGGAUACCUAUGUCCUCUCUGCCGGAGCUAAUGUGUUAAGUGCCCCGCCUGGGGAGUACGCUCGCAAGGGUAAAACUCAAAGAAAUUGACGGGGGCUCACACAAGCGGUGGAGCAUGUGGUUUAAUUCGAAGCAACGCGAAGAACCUUACCUGGCCUUGACAUGCAUGGAUUAGUCCCGUGAAAGCGGGAUGACAGCUCUUCGGAGUCGGAACAUGCACAGGUGUUCCAUGGCUGUCGUCAGCUCGUGUCAUGAGAUGUUGGGUUAAGUCCCGUAACGAGCGAAACCCUUAUCACUAGUUGCCAGCGGGUAAUGCCGGGGACUCUAGUGAGACUGCCGUUGUCAAAACGGAGGAAGGUGGGGACGACGUCAAGUCAUCAUGGCCCUUAUGGCCAGGGCGACACACGUGCUACAAUGGCCUGUACAAAGGGUUCCGAGACCGUGAGGUGGAGGCAAUCCUCAAAGCAGGCCCCAGUUCGGAUUGAAGGCUGCAAUUCGCCUUCAUGAAGCCGGAAUCGCUAGUAAUCGCGUAUCAGCCACGACGCGGUGAAUACGUUCCCGGGCCUUGUACACACCGCCCGUCAAGCCACGAAAGCGGGGAGUGCUCGAAGUCGCUUUGCUCAACCUUCGGGAGGGCGGCGCCGAAAGCAAGCUCCGUGAUUGGGACUAAGUCGUAACAAGGUAGCCGUAGGGGAACCUGCGGCUG
rnacentral:rRNA from 1 species